AUGAGGGUCCAUGAUGAGCUCGAUGGAGGUGACUCUGCGCAUCGUCUCCUCUUCAAUUUAUAUCUCACCUAUUGGCCACUCCUUCUCCACUGCCACCUCCUCCUGUUUAAGCGACCCGUCACCAAGACCAGGGCAGCAAGCUCAACGGACGUAGUGGCUAAGUUGGACCUUGAUACCGAGGGGUGGGAGAGUGGGGAGGAGGUUGAUCUCGAGCUCACCGGCACAUUGAGGAGGAGGUGGUUAGUCAAAGCUCGAGGCCGCCAGUGCAUGGAAGAGGCUCUUGGAGAGGCAGAGUUUGAGCUCGCCAACACCGAUUUUAUGGCCAAGAGGUGCUCGUUGUUAGAGGUAGGUCCAGGAGAUAGAUGGACGUUGGUGGCGGUCAUUGCUGCUGAAGGCUAGCAAGAAGCGG
rnacentral:lncRNA from 1 species